rnacentral:rRNA from 1 species
AUUGAACGCUGGCGGCAGGCCUAACACAUGCAAGUCGAACGAGUGGCGGACGGGUGAGUAAUGUCUGGGAAACUGCCCGAUGGAGGGGGAUAACUACUGGAAACGGUAGCUAAUACCGCAUACCAUCGGAUGUGCCCAGAUGGGAUUAGCUAGUAGGUGGGGUAACGGCUCACCUAGGCGACGAUCCCUAGCUGGUCUGAGAGGAUGACCCGGCAAACUGGAACUGGAACCCGGUCCAGACUCCUACGGGAGGCAACAGGGGGGAAUAUUGGACAAUGGGCGCAAGCCUGAUUCAGCCAUGCCGCGUGGAUGAAGAAGGCCUUCGGGUUGUAAAAUACUUUCAGCGAGGAGGCGUUACUCGCAGAAGAAGCACCGGCUAACUCCGUGCCAGCAGCCGCGGUAAUUC